rnacentral:rRNA from 1 species
AUGGUGAACCCAAGCAGGGCUAAAACCAGACAGACACGGAUACAGACUGCAGACGGCCCGGGCUUUGGGCAAUGCAAAGACAUAAAAGAAACUAACAGCAUCAGCCAGCGCUGCGACCAAGCUAGAACAGAGCUAGACCUGCACAUUCAGGAGAGAGCGACCAGCAAAGGACCCGGUUGGGUUGGCAUCAGCCUGGGCGAGGCGAGCGAUACCAGAGGAGGAGGCUUGUGCUUGAGCAUGGGCGUUGAUGGCAUCGGCAUUGAGGUCGCAGUGGAAAGCCAGCUGCUUGAGUUUGCCUCUGGUGAGCGGCGAAGGAGCACCAGAGAGGGGAAGAUCCAGCAGCUCAGACACGGCAGCCACCUUGGGAGCCUUGCGACGGUUGCCAGGCGAAGGGGAUCGCCUGCCUGGGGCGCUGGAGAGGCGGCACCCGCCGCUGCCGCCUUCCUUUUGGCCGCACGUUUGACAGAUCCCACACGCUCUCCAUCAUAG